AACACAAGAAAAUACCCUAGCAGAGCCAUGCUAAAAACGUACUUGGCCCUCACCAAAGCUAUUCAACCUAAAGCCUCUAAAGUUCAACAUCUGAACUUGAGUAAGGCUUGAGCUCUAAACCCUUCACCAUAUCACAAAGUAACCUUGCACAAAGCAGAAGAAAGAGGAGAGGAAGGAAGUAUCAUAAACAAACAGAAACAGAAAGAAGGAACUGAUAGAGUUUACCCGAGGUUGGUCGCCGAAGUCUCACCGAAGUUUAAACCAUUGGCGAGGUCUUCUUAUUCACUUUCCUUUUGUUUUUCCUGCAUAUUAACGUUGUUUUAUCUAUUGCUGUAUGUUAUGUGUAAUUUGGACAUACAGAAUUAAGGGGUUAAGUUAAAUUUAGGGAUGAGCCCUAUCUGGGCUCAUAGUUGCUUAUUUGGUUAUUUUGACGAUGGAUUCUUGAUCAAGGACUAUUUUUAGGCUAGGGUUUUAUUUUUCAUUUUGGAUUUGGACAAUUUUCGUGAAAUCUGAGUUUCAAGUAUGAACAUCUUCAUGAUGUUCAUGCUUGUUCUAAGACAACCACUAUGGUUGAUCUUGGUUUGGUGGAAAGAGAAGCAAGAAAUGUGUUAGUGUGGUGGGGCAGGUUAGAGGUAGAGAGAGAGAGUAGGUCAGAGUAGAGAGAGAAGGAAGUUGAAAAAUGAAUCCCACGUGAGGUCUCCCUCACUUUUACCUCUCUCACAUCUGAACCCUUUCCAACACAUGGUGGCUUUGGAACCAUGAGAUUCGUUGACCGCUCAUCAUUGAAAAGGGUUUCUGUAGUAGACCUUCAUCAUAGCCUUCACGCGCAUGCGUUUCCUUGACCUUCAUAUUUAUGUGGCUUUCAUCCAAGGGACAAGGUUGAGUUAACGUUAUUGACUCCUCUGAUCCUUUGACUUGGACGAGCGCCCUGCUUUGGGCUUUCACGUUCGGCCACUGCUAGGCGCACCCCUUCCUGGUCCAUUUUUGCUUGCAAUCUUUUUUUAUUAUUUUAUUUUAUAAUUUUGGAUCUUGGGCCUUUGGCAUAUUUGUGCUUAUCUAUGUUUACUAGCAGCAUACCCCAUACCAUUUUUAUGCACCCCCAUUUCUAUUAUUAUUUUCAUGUCAUUUUUAUUUAUUUAUUGUUCUUUUAUUUUAUUUAAUAAUAAACAUUACUUCAAUAAUAAUAAAAUCAAUUACAUUUGUAACAAAAAUCUUGAUCCAACGUCAAGAAUUUUUUUAAAAAUCAAAUUCAACGCAUUCUCAAAUACGACUCAAAGCGUUUAAUCGAUAUCAAACUUCUUUUCAAACUCAAACCCUUAGUCAAAUCUUUUUCUCAAGUAAACCCAAUGAAAAGGGUUAAUUGAGUGUAUACAUGUUUUCUCCUCAAGUAUUAGGUCACUGGAUGUAGAGCUCACUGUUUGAAGACUCGUCAUCCGCAUUAAAAGAUAAUAAUUAACCGAAUUUGGUUUGAUCUUUUAUAGAAGAAAAAUGAUUAAUUGGGUGUAGAUCUCUUUCUUCCCCGAGUAUUUAGACACUGGCUGUAGAGCUCGCUGUGCAAAUACUCAUCUUUCGUUAAAGAACCAUUACUCAAUUUGAUUCACAUAUUUUAAAAUAAAUUUGGACGAAAAAGGAUUAAAUGGGUUUAGACCUUUUUUCUCCUCGAUUAUUCGUACACUGGAUGUAGAGCUCGUUGUGUAAAUACUCUUCAUCCACUAAAAAAUAUUAAACAAAUCAAACUUAUCUUUUCUCGAUCCCGCACGAUCAAAAUUAUUUUCUUAAAAGAACAUUGUUUAGUCUGUUAUACCGCGAUAUAAAUAAACACUUAAGCCUUCAAUUACGAGCAUACAAGCCAUGUUUAACCGCUAGAACGCGAUAUACAUAUUUGUUUAAUAAAAUCAAUCAACCAAUACAUAGUUUUGUAUUAAGAACCGCGUAACUUUCAAUUCCUCAUCGCACCUGAGGAUACGUAGGAGUAAGACCUGCAAUCUUGUCAAGCACCCUAAUAAAAACCUUUUUGCGACCCUUUUAUUUUCCGUUUGAACUUUUAAUCACUCGAAGAAAAAAAAUAACGAAAGCUAACAUUUAAAUCACAAAUCUAACUAAAUAGUUCCCGUUGAGUACAACAAAUGUGAGGGGUGCUAAUACCUUCCCCUCGCAUAGUCGACUCCCAAACCCGAUUUUUGUUGCGAGAACCAUUUUCUUUUUUCUAUAAGGAAUUUAUCUAUAUUUCCCUUUCCUUUUGGAAUAAAUAAAGUUCAAUGGUGACUAUGUUAUCAUCUCGAGCGUGCGAGUGCUCCAAGUUAUUUUUUUUGUGCCGCGACAGUUGACGUCUCUAUUGGGGACACACUUCAGCUAGAGAGUCAAGCCUAAUUUGGUUAACUAUGCAAUAAAUGUUGGCAUUAUUUGUUUUCUUCCAUUUGUUUUAUCAUUUCUUAUGUGUUUCUCUUGCUACAUGUUUACCUAUUAUAGGUUACCAUGGUUAUUGGCAAUGUGUGAGAUAGGCUCUAUACCCGAGUCUGAGAAAACACCUAAGUAUAAGAUGGUGGUUGUGUAGUGUUUGACCUUUAAGGCGUAGGUCUGGUUUGAUCGGCAUAAAGACCUCACCUAGAGUAGAUCUUAUUGAGAGUGUUGUUGUUUAACGAGUAGUCAUUAUGGCGAUGAUAUUUUCAAUUAGGAUCUCUAACUCUAGGGACCUUUUUAGAACCUUAGAGUCGAUGGUUGUGUAGCAUUGAACGGAAAGACACAUGUCUCGUUAGGCCGAUACGAUGACCUCACAUAGAGUAGAUUCUCUUGGAGAUAUGGUUGUCUAACAAUUAGUCAUUAUGGUGAUAAUAUUUCCGAGAAGGAUCCAUGAAUUUGGGAACCUACAACCAUAGAGCAUACCUUUGGGAUUCCAUUAAUCAAAGAUACUUGUAUUUUCUCCAAUUGUUACCCUGAUUGACUUGAACAUGAUAUGCCUAUGAUCCCGAGUCAUGCAUAUGCAUCACAUUUUCAUAAAAAAAUACUUAGCAUUUGCAUUUUAUUUUCAAGGAACCUAAGAGACUACAGUUGUUGCAGGCAUUCGAGAGUAUAUGGUCAGAUAGGAAAAACACAUACUCCUUAAAAUUCAAGUCUCCUAAGCUAUAAGGUUUGAA
rnacentral:lncRNA from 1 species